rnacentral:rRNA from 1 species
GUGCCAGCAGCCGCGGUAAUACGGAGGGUGCAAGCGUUAUCCGGAUUCACUGGGUUUAAAGGGUGCGUAGGCGGCUUGAUAAGUCAUUGGUGAAAGCUCGCAGCUCAACUGCGAAACUGCCAUUGAAACUGUCAAGCUUGAAUGUGGUUGAAGUGGGCGGAAUACAACAUGUAGCGGUGAAAUGCUUAGAUAUGUUUUAGAACACCGAUUGCGAAGGCAGCUCACUAAGCCAAUAUUGACGCUGAGGCACGAAAGCGUGGGUAGCAAACAGGAUUAGAUACCCUAGUAGUCC